rnacentral:rRNA from 1 species
UACAGAGGUCUCAAGCGUUGUUCGGAUUCAUUGGGCGUAAAGGGUGCGUAGGCGGCGCGGUAAGUCGGGUGUGAAAUCUCGGAGCUUAACUCCGAAACUGCAUUCGAUACUGCCGUGCUUGAGGACUGGAGAGGAGACUGGAAUUUACGGUGUAGCGGUGGAAAUGCGUAGAUAUCGUAAGGAAGACCGAGUGGACGGAAGGCGGUCGCUGGACAGUUCCUGACGCUGAGGCACGAAGGUCAGGGGAGCAAACGGG